rnacentral:rRNA from 1 species
UACGUAGGGUGCAAGCGUUAAUCGGAAUUACUGGGCGUAAAGCGUGCGCAGGCGGUUAUGCAAGACAGAGGUGAAAUCCCCGGGCUCAACCUGGGAACUGCCUUUGUGACUGCAUAGCUAGAGUACGGUAGAGGGGGAUGGAAUUCCGCGUGUAGCAGUGAAAUGCGUAGAUAUGCGGAGGAACACCGAUGGCAAAGGCAAUCCCCUGGACCUGUACUGACGCUCAUGCACGAAAGCGUGGGGAGCAAACAGG